rnacentral:rRNA from 1 species
UACAGAGACUGCAAGCGUUAUUCGGAUUCACUGGGCGUAAAGGGUGCGCAGGCGGCCGUGUGUGUUAGGCGUGAAAGCCCGAGGCUCAACCUCGGAAUUGCACCUAAAACUACACGGCUAGAGUACUGGAGAGGGUAGCGGAAUUCACGGUGUAGCAGUGAAAUGCGUAGAUAUCGUGAGGAACACCAAUGGCGAAGGCAGCUACCUGGACAGUAACUGACGCUCAGGCACGAAAGCGUGGGGAGCAAAA